AAGAAUGAAGCAAUCUGAGAUGCAAUUCAUUUACAGUGAAAGAUAGGGCUGUUUGAUUCAGCUUAUUCUUA
rnacentral:tRNA from 1 species